CGCGUAGGCGGCUUGACAAGUCAGAUGUGAAAGCCCCGGGCUUAACCCGGGAAUUGCAUCUGAAACUGUUGAGCUUGAGUUCUGGAGGGGGUAGUGGAAUUCCCAGUGUAGCGGUGAAAUGCGUAGAUAUUGGGAGGAACACCUGCGGCGAAGGCGGCUACCUGGACAGGAACUGACGCUGAGGCGCGAAAGCUAGGGGAGCGAACGGGAUUAGAUACCCCGGUAGUCCUAGCUGUAAACGAUGGGCACUUGGUGUUGGGGGUAUUGAGUCCCUCGGUGCCGGAGCUAACGCGAUAAGUGCCCCGCCUGGGGAGUACGGUCGCAAGACUGAA
rnacentral:rRNA from 1 species